rnacentral:lncRNA from 1 species
AUAUUAAAUACUUGUCUAUUUUAAUAUUUAGUAUUUUAAUAUUCAAUAUUUCAGUAUUGGAUAUUUCAAUAUUCAAUUUUCAAAAUUCUUAUUUUAAUGUAUGAAUAUAUUCAAUAUUCAUUUCAAUAUUCUGGAUCAUUUCAUUGUCAGUCUUCUCUAAUUUUCUUUUCUUUCGAGAAUGGGUUACAUUUUCCUGUUUCUUCAUAUGUAGAGUAAUUUAGAUUGUGUCUGGAACAUGGUAAGUAAAAUGUUGCAGAAACCCUGGAUUUUUAUUUGUUUCUCUAAAGGCUUCUUUUUUUUUUUUUUUUUUUUUUUUUUUAAAGCAGCUAGUUAACUUGGCCAAACUGCCAGCUGCAAGCUCUGGUUCCCCUAGAGUUCGUGGCAGCUCAGAUUUUAGUUCAGCUUUUUAACCUGGCUAUUGUACUUGAAAUCUCUUCUGUACAUGCAUGCGUGGGAGACCAGCCAGCUUUAGCAGAGUCAUACACAGAAUUUAGGGCUCUCUCUGUGGUUCUUUUCGUAUCAGGAUUUCCCUCUGCGUUUUCCAGCAGUUGCCAUUACCCCAAACGUGUCCUAGUGUUCUUCAAGUCAAUACAACUGUAGUCUCCACAUGAUGCAGAGUGAGGAGUUCCUCAGGCUAUGAACUAUAAAAAUAGGAAACUCACCCAGUGCUAUUUCUUCUAAGUAUUCACUCCUCUGUAGGAUCAACCUGCUUUUGGUUGUUUUCUAUUACUUUCAGUUAGUUAAUUUUUAAAUAUUUUGUCCAGAGUUUGUAAUUUCAUAUGUUGGCAGGUUGGUCUGAAAGAACUUCUUGACCAUCACUUGAAGUGGAACCCUCUCCAAUUGGGUAGUAUUCUUUUUCUACUUCCUAUGAUUACUGAGUAGGGAUUUGUUCCUGAUUAUUUUUAAAACUAGGUGAGUAGAAAUUUUUAACAUGUUCUAUCUAUGAAAAACCUUAAUUAUAAACAUUUAGUAAAUGUUUACCAAAUUAGCAAUUCAGUGUUUCCUAGUUGGUGUCCUACUAGGAAGGAAAAAGAAAAUGAAAAGAAGAAGAGAGGAAAGAACAAAAAUGCUUAACAACUUUUAGAAUUCCCUCCAAAUUUGUCAUCAAUAGGGUUUUUACUGAAUACAUUCUUUUAAAAUUAGCACUCUCUAAUCUUGAUGAAUUUGUAUUUUCAUAAAAAUCUGUAUUUUCAUAUUUCCAUUCAUUUGCACUGUGUUUCUCUUCGGGAAAGCUGUUAACCUUUCUUCAUAUUUACCUGUUGAAUGUUAUUUGUCCUUCCAAGUCCUGUUAGAUUCUUUCCCCUCCAGGACAACUUUCUUAAUUCUUGCAGGUGGAAAUUUUGUUCUUGUAUCUCACUCAGUGCCUAACACAGAUGUUAGCCCAGAGUAGUUUCUCAAUAAAUCCAGUUGAAUCAUUUUUGCUCUGGUUUAGAUUCUAUAUAAUCACAUAGAAAUAUGGCUUUACUAUUUCCAUUUUUAAAAAAUACAUCCAGACCUUUCACAAUUUACAAACCAGAGUAUAUUAGCUAACUUUUAAAAAAUAUUAAGAUUCAACUGUGUAUUAUUCUAGACAUAAAUUCACCUCUCCAGAAAUAAUUUGAACUAUCUGAAUGAGUUAUUGCUACUUGGAGAUUGCCUACCUACUUUUUUUCGUGCAGACUCGGUGACCUUUUUUAAAAAUAAGAAAAACAUCAAGAGUUUGUCAUUGAUCUUGUUACUUCUUUUAAUUGGUCUAAGUUUUUGACAAUAUUAUGAAUAUUGUGCUCAAUGAGAGUAAGCUUAUUCAUAAGCUUUAAUAUUUAAAAUAACAACUUGUUUAUUCAAAUUAAAACCUGUUUUCCUGUGUCAAAAGUGAACUUUUUCCUAAAUAUCAUUAUUAAUAACACUAUUGCCUACAGUUUCUUGUCAAGCAUUCAUAAGUGAAUGUGUCUUCUUCUAGAAAGUCAUCUUAAGGAAAUAAUUCCAAAUUGGGAAAAGGCAAUAUGCACAACUUUAAUUACAUCAGUUUUUAAAAGAAAAAAGAGAUGGAAACACUGAAAUUCUAACAAAUACCCAACAAAUAUUCGAGUACAUUCUAUGUACCAGACACUAUGCUAAGCACUGGUUGAGAAGACCAAAAUACAUCCUCAUGAUGUAUUACUAUGAUGCAAUGAUAUUUAUCAAUAAUAUGGGAAAAUUCUUACAGAUAUUAUAAAGUAUAUAAAAUUGUACAUGUGUGUAUUGUACAUAUAUAUACACAAAUUACAAUUAUUAUAUAAAACAAAGCAAAAACCUGUGAAUACAAAGAAGAGACUGGCAUAAAAUAUACCAAAAUAUUAUAGAUAGUGGAUUUUUUGUGUAUUUCCUCUUUAAAAUCUUCUUAAGGAUCAUAUAUUUUAGAUAGAACAAAAUAAAUUAAUCAAACUAUUCAGAAUAUGAACAAUGUCCCUAAUUUACCUAGUAGGCUUUCCCUUCAGAAUGUUUCCAUGUAUUUUUAUUCAAAAUUUAUUUUAAAAAGACACUUAGUUGACCUGUUAAAUCAUUAUCUGGACAAAUGUUUUGUUUUCAAGCUUAAAAAUGUACAUUGUUUUAUUUUAUUUUUGUCUCAUCAAAUUAAAGACCAACAAGAGAAAGAUAUCAAAUCUUUACUGAGGAAAUUUUUAUUUGUUAAAAAAAAAAUAAAGGCUUUCUUCCUGGCAUGGUUGGACAGGAAGGUUGGAUUUAAUUUAAAAUGAUUAAUGAGAUUUUGUCAGACUCCUUGACUUUGCCACCACUGCAGUUUGUCAGUGCAACAACCUGGGAAGCCGGACGCCACUCUGUCGCCCAAAACCAUUCUCCAAGGAAAAAAUUAACUGGAAGGACUAGUGCCAGGUCCCCAUCAGUGGCGUUGUCUCUCUGGUAUUGACAGUUUAAAAGUCUAAAUCAGAAAUAUGUAUGUUUGGGGACUCACAUACUUAAGAUAUUGUUUUUAGUCUCUUUGCAAGUAGUUAAUCACUUUUUAAAUAUUUAAGUUGUUGACAUUUUCUAAAGGAAACUUUGAAGACAAAAUCUGUACUAAUGUCCCCUCUCAAUUUGUUUUAAAAAUUAAAAUAAACAAGGAAUUUUAGGAUCUCAGGUUACAUUCUAUUUUUUAACUUAAAGAAUUAAAGUGAAG